AGAGAUAUGCAUCACUAGUUAAAUAUCAAGUGAUAAGUUGUGGAAUUCCACCGCGUUUUGCUCAAGUGAACUUGCUAUAAAUAGGUUUGCAAACAGAACGAGAUAUAUAGGCAAGGUAGAGAAGAAGAUGGUGAGAAAACCAGCUUUGAUCAUUGCUGUUACUGGUGGCAUUCAUAGUUGUUUCUGCUAAUGCAGACAACACAAAGGUUCACCCCCCAACUUCUAAGAAUAUGGUGUAUUAUCCUCAAGGUUGUAGGUGCUGCUGGUUCAUAUGGAAGCCAAUGAUCAAAUGUGGGAAAGUUUGUUGUGAAGAUGGAUGUUGCUCUUAAACUUAUGCAACACAAGGUUGAAGCAGACCUCCUAUAAUUUCUACAGUUCUAUAUAUGUUUCUCUUCAUCCAGAUGCUUAUAUAAUGUAGUGCUAAAUAAUCAUCCAGGAAUCCAGAAUUUGAUUAUGUGCCCUGCGAGUAGUUUGAAGGGUAAUUGAUGAGUUAAUGUGAUCAAAGUUUUUAUUUCUAUAUAUUCCCGAGGAAUUUCAAUUCAAAAAUCAUAUGUAGAUCCCUCCAUCAACUAUCCAAGGAAUUUUCGAAGAGC